AUUUAUAAUUUCCGUGCAAUUUCCAUGCUUCUCGCAUGGACAACUAUAUGUCGCGUGUUCACGUGUAGGAAAGCCAUCGUCUUUAUAUAUUUAUGCUCCGAAAAACCAAACUAAAAACGUAGUUUAUC